GGGGGCGGCGCAGCGCCGGGCCAACGCGCUGGGGACCCGCCUGGCGCAGAGGGGGCAUCACCCAGAUGCCUGGGUCACCCCCGGACGCCUGGGUCCCUCCUGAACUCCUGGGUCCCCUCCUGAACUCCUGGGUCCUCCCCAGACUCCUGGGUCCCUGGGAUGCCUUGGUUCCCCCCCCCACUCCUGGGUCCCCCCGGACGCCUGGGUCCCCCCCAGACUCCUGGGUCCCCCCCGAAUGCCUGGGGAGCUGCUGGAGACACCUGGGACCCCUCCCGAACUCCUGGGUCCCCCAAAGUCCUGGUUGUCCCCCCGGAUGCCUGGGUCCCCCCGGACGCCUGGGUCCCCCCCCCGAACUCCUGGGUCCCCCAGACACC